AAGUAAAAGUCGUAACAAGGUUUCCGUNGGUGAACCUGCGGAAGGAUCANNNUCGUGGGGCUUCGGCCCUAUCGUGAUAGAACCCUUGCCUUUUGAGUACCGUCCGUUUCCUCGGCAGGCCCGCCUGCCAAUGGGGACCCCAAUAAACCCUUUUUAUGUACCUGUAUCAGUCUGAAAAACAAACAAAAGUUAAAACUUUCAACAACGGAUCUCUUGGUUCUGGCAUCGAUGAAGAACGCAGCGAAAUGCGAUAAGUAGUGUGAAUUGCAGAAUUCAGUGAAUCAUCGAAUCUUUGAACGCACAUUGCGCCCUUUGGUAUUCCUUAGGGCAUGCCUGUUCGAGCGUCAUUUGAAACCUCAAGCUCAGCUUGGUGUUGGGUGUCUGUCCCCGCCUCCCGCGGGGACUCGCCUCAAAAUCAUUGGCGGCCGGUACGUUGGCUUCGAGCGCAGCAGAAACGCGAACUCGAGGCCCGGCGGAUCGGCGACCAGAAGUCACUUCNUCACAGUUUGACCUCGGAUCAGGNAGGGAUACCCGCUGAACUUAAGCAUAUCAAUAAGCGGA
rnacentral:misc_RNA from 1 species